UUUCCGUAGGUGAACCUGCGGAAGGAUCAUUAUCGUACAACUGAGGUGCGAAGGCUGUCGCUGACCCUCAAAGGUCGUGCACGCCUGAGUGCUUUCACACAAUCCAUCUCACCUUUGUGCAUCACCGCGUGGGUCCCCCUUUGCGGGGAGGGCUUGCGUUUUCACAUAAAACUCGAUACGGUGUAGAAUGUUUCUUUUGCGGUCACACGCAAUCAAUACAACUUUCAACAACGGAUCUCUUGGCUCUC
rnacentral:misc_RNA from 1 species